GCGAGAUCUGACUCCCGAUUCAUAACUUCCGACAACCUCCAUUUUCUUUGUCGCUUUCGUCGCACGAGCAUUUCUACUAUACAAGCUACUUUUGUAACUGUGCAUUCAUCGAAAUUUAAAUAUGGAUGCUCCAGGAGGUAGAGGUGGAUUUCGAGGCCGUGGAGGUCCUGGUGGAUUAAUGAGAGGACGUGGUGGAUUUGGAGAGAGAGGAAGAGGUGGUCCUCUACGAGGUGGUAACAUGAUGCGUGGUGGACGAGGAAGUGGACCUGGUGGUGGCAUGAGAGGAGGUCCACCUAUGAGAGGUAGAGGUGGUCCUCCAGGUAGAGGUGGACGAGGAGGACAUGGUGGACAUUUUCCUCCAGGACCUGAACCAGGAAUGUCCAGUGGACCUGGAGGUGGACCGCCUCCUUUAGGAAUGGGUGGUCCUCCACGAGGUGGCAGUGGAAGAGGAAGUGGAAGCAACAGCUUCCGCAGCAGAGGCAGAGGUGAUUACAACAGAGGAGAUAGUCGUGGAGGUAGCAACAAUUUCCGAGGUCGUGGCAUGGAUAGAGGCAGGGGAGGAUCCAGAGGGGGUUCUGGUAGAGGUGGACCAAGCCGUGGAGGUGGCUUUUCCGAUCGUGGUGGCAGAGGAGCUGGUAGUGGACGUGGUGGUCCAACGAAACGAGGAGGUGGACCACCUAGCUCUAGUGGACCGUCUAAAAGGCCGCGCUUUGAUCAGCCGUCUUCUCAACCAUCCAAUGGCUAUGCCACUCAACCCCCUAAGUACAGCCAAGGCGGUUACGGUUCAAAUAAUGCUUAUGGGGGUCAGCAACAACCACCGCAACAGUCGGUAGGAUACGGUGGUUAUGGUUCGCAGCAAAAUUAUACGCAGUCCUACCAGGGUUAUGAGAGCUACCAGCAACCUCAGGACUAUGCACAAACGGGUUAUCCACCAUCCGCGUCAGAUAGCAGAUACGGGGGAGCAUCAUCGGUUCCAGCUGCGGGAGGAUUUGGUGCUAACGAUCCAUACAGUUAUGGCAAAGCUCCGCCAUCAGCCAAUUACCAGCAGGAGGCAGUGCCAGCCGCGGGACCGGGGGGCGGGGGCGGUUAUGCCCCUGUUAACCCAUAUGAUGACCGAUCUAAUGCCAACAUAAUCAACCGAGGUGGUUACUCGACGCAACCUUACGAUUAUCCGAAUCAGGAUGGCGUUUAUGGAAAACAGGACUAUGGGUGAUCACGAUCAACAACAAGCGGCAACAAGUAGCCGUCCAAUGUGACGCGAAUCAUCGAACGGGAUCAUCGUCGUGCGUGAAAUUGUCGAUGACCAUCGAAUUGCCGCACUGGACUGGUGUUGCGACUACAAGGACCCGAAAAAACAACGCGUACCUGAUGAAACAUGAAGACGAGAGCCGCAUUUGACAAGUUGUUUGUAUUCGCGUAAGCAACAUCGUUCAGUUUUUCUUCUGGAUGGCUCCCGACUAUUCGCCUGGCUAUAUAAUCGUCCUUACGAUCCCCGGUUUAUUGUCUCGAAGACUACUUGAUAUUUUGGGAUCUUGGGCAAGCGAGGGGCCCCGUUCAUUUCUUUCUGCGAAGAAAGAUAUAUGUGCGGAUUUAAUUUUUAAUUUUCUUAUAUAUCAAUAACGUCUCACUUCUAUCUGUUAAUUUUAUGAGUGAAAUAAUGCGAUUUUAAAAAGUAAGUGCAUCUACAAAAUGUACUUAACAUUUAUUUGUGAAAAUAAAGUUUAUUUUGUUUAUUUUGUUUAUUUUGUACAUAUCGCCAUUAUUAUAUAUAAUGAGGGGAGCGAGUUACAACUUUUUCAGAUUCAGAUCAUAUAAUGAAUUCGGCAAAUAUAAAUUUUGACUCUGUUUCGAUGUUAUCAAGAUUGCUUUGUAUGAAAAGAUUUGAAUAGAAAAACAGUAUAUAAGCAUUUUGUUUGUAUUAAAUAAUAUUAAAUAUUUAAUUGAUUGAGA